UACGGAGGAUGCAAGCGUUAUCCGGAAUGAUUGGGCGUAAAGCGUCCGCAGGUGGCAAUGUAAGUCUGCUGUUAAAGAGUCUAGCUCAACUAGAUAAAAGCAGUGGAAACUACAUAGCUAGAGUACGUUCGGGGCAGAGGGAAUUCCUGGUGUAGCGGUGAAAUACGUAGAGAUCAGGAAGAACACCGGUGGCGAAGGCGCUCUGCUAGGCCGUAACUGACACUGAGGGACGAAAGCUAGGGGAGCGAAUGGG
rnacentral:rRNA from 1 species